rnacentral:rRNA from 1 species
UGGGGAAUAUUGGACAAUGGGCGAAAGCCUGAUCCAGCCAUGCCGCGUGUGUGAAGAAGGUCUUCGGAUUGUAAAGCACUUUAAGUUGGGAGGAAGGGCAGUAAGCGAAUACCUUGCUGUUAUGACGUUACCGACAGAAUAAGCACCGGCUAACUCUGUGCCAGCAGCCGCGGUAAUACAGAGGGUGCAAGCGUUAAUCGGAAUUACUGGGCGUAAAGCGCGCGUAGGUGGUUCGUUAAGUUGAAUGUGAAAGCCCCGGGCUCAACCUGGGAACUGCAUCCAAAACUGGCGAGCUAGAGUAGGGCAGAGGGUGGUGGAAUUUCCUGUGUAGCGGUGAAAUGCGUAGAUAUAGGAAGGAACACCAGUGGCGAAGGCGACCACCUGGGCUCAUACUGACACUGAGGUGCGAAAGCGUGGGGAGCAAACAGG